UACGUAGGGUGCGAGCGUUAAUCGGAAUUACUGGGCGUAAAGCGUGCGCAGGCGGCUUCGCAAGUCAGACGUGAAAUCCCCGGGCUUAACCUGGGAAUGGCGUUUGAAACUACGGAGCUGGAGUAUGGCAGAGGGGGGUGGAAUUCCGCGUGUAGCAGUGAAAUGCGUAGAUAUGCGGAGGAACACCGAUGGCGAAGGCGGCGACCUGGUCCGAUACUGACGCUGAGGCGCGAAAGCGUGGGGAGCAAACAGG
rnacentral:rRNA from 1 species